rnacentral:rRNA from 1 species
ACAUACGACCAUAGCUAGAUGAGAAUUCGGGGUCCCCUCUGCUCCCCCAUACAUGUAGACAAGCCACUAACCGGCAGAUUAGUAGUUGAGUGGCUGACCAUCAGCGAACACCGGCUGUUGUAUGUU